AGAACUACGUCAUCUACGUCUACUGAUGUAAGAACUACCUCACUUUCACCUCUUUUUUUUGGGGGGUGGAAAGAAAACAGGAGCUUUAUUCUAACGGGUUGUUGCAGAUUUCAAAACACUUUCGCAAAAGACUGGGAGAAUACCCAUGACUUCCCUAGAGGAGAGUUGGAUGCUCUAACCACUGGGUUACCCUGCUACUCCUCAUCACACCACGGCCCACGGACGAUGCCGGGACCGAGGGGUUACCUCAAAGUAUUCCC